rnacentral:rRNA from 1 species
AUUGAACGCUGGCGGCAGGCCUAACACAUGCAAGUCGAGCGGAUGAAGGGAGCUUGCUCCUGGAUUCAGCGGCGGACGGGUGAGUAAUGCCUAGGAAUCUGCCUGGUAGUGGGGGAUAACGUCCGGAAACGGGCGCUAAUACCGCAUACGUCCUGAGGGAGAAAGUGGGGGAUCUUCGGACCUCACGCUAUCAGAUGAGCCUAGGUCGGAUUAGCUAGUUGGUGGGGUAAAGGCCUACCAAGGCGACGAUCCGUAACUGGUCUGAGAGGAUGAUCAGUCACACUGGAACUGAGACACGGUCCAGACUCCUACGGGAGGCAGCAGUGGGGAAUAUUGGGCAACGGGCGAAAGCCUGAUCCAGCCAUGCCGCGUGUGUGAAGAAGGUCUUCGGAUUGUAAAGCACUUUAAGUUGGGAGGAAGGGCAGUAAGUUAAUACCUUGCUGUUUUGACGUUACCAACAGAAUAAGCACCGGCUAACUUCGUG